UACGUAGGGUGCAAGCGUUUGUCCGGAAUUAUUGGGCGUAAAGAGCUCGUAGGCGGUCUGUCACGUCGGCUGUGAAAACCCGAGGCUCAACCUCGGGCCUGCAGUCGAUACGGGCAGACUAGAGUUCGGUAGGGGGAGACUGGAAUUCCUGGUGUAGCGGUGAAAUGCGCAGAUAUCAGGAGGAACACCGGUGGCGAAGGCGGGUCUCUGGGCCGAAACUGGACGCUGAGGAGCGAAAGCGUGGGGAGCGAACAGG
rnacentral:rRNA from 1 species